rnacentral:rRNA from 1 species
CAGUCGCCACGGGAAUACAGAGGGUGCGAGCGUUAAUCGGAUUUACUGGGCGUAAAGCGUGCGUAGGCGGCUAAUUGAGUCGGAUGUGAAAUCCACGAGCUUAACUUGGGAAUUGCAUUCGAUACUGGUUAGCUAGAGUGUGGGAGAGGAUGGUAGAAUUCCAGGUGUAGCGGUGAAAUGCGUAGAGAUCUGGAGGAAUACCGAUGGCGAAGGCAGCCAUCUGGCCUAACACUGACGAUGAGGUACGAAAGCAUGGGGAGCAAACAGGAUUAGAUACCCCUGUAGUCCCUGUCUCUUAUAC